rnacentral:rRNA from 1 species
AACACAUGCAAGUCGAGCGAGAAGCUAUCUAUGACCCUUCGGGGGAUUAGACUAGUGGACAGCGGCGGACGGGUGAGUAACGCGUAAAUAACCUGCCAUACACACAAGGAUAGCCAUCGGAAACGGUGAUUAAUACUUGAUGAGGCUACAGAUUCGCAUGAAUCAGUAGUUAAAGAAUUUUGGUGUAUGAUGGAUUUGCGUUUGAUUAGCUAGUUGGUAAGGUAAUGGCUUACCAAGGCAAUGAUCAAUAGCCGGCCUGAGAGGGUGAACGGCCACACUGGAACUGAGACACGGUCCAGACUCCUACGGGAGGCAGCAGUGGGGAAUAUUGCACAAUGGAGGAAACUCUGAUGCAGCAACGCCGCGUGAACGAAGAAGGCUUUCGAGUCGUAAAGUUCUGUUAUAGGGGAAGAAGAAGUGACGGUACCCUAUGAGAAAGCCACGGCUAAUUACGUGCCAGCAGCCGCGGUAAUACGUAAGUGGCAAGCGUUAUCCGGAAUUACUGGGCAUAAAGAGUUCGUAGGCGGUUAAUCAAGCCAGCUAGUGAAAACCAUCGGCCUAACCGAUGUCAGCUAAUGGAACUGGUUAACUUGAGUACAGGAGAGGAAAGUGGAAUUCCUAGUGUAGUAGUGAAAUGCGUAGAUAUUAGGAAGAACAUCAGUAGCGAAGGCGACUUUCUGGACUGUAACUGACGCUGAGGAACGAAAGCGUGGGGAGCGAACAGGAUUAGAUACCCUGGUAGUCCACGCCGUAAACGAUGGAUACUUGGUGUUGGAGGCUCGAAUCCUUCAGUGCCGGAGUUAACGCAUUAAGUGUCCCGCCUGGGGAAUACGGUCGCAAGACUGAAACUCAAAGGAAUUGGCGGGGGCCCGCACAAGCGGUGGAGCAUGUGGUUUAAUUCGAUGCAACGCGAAGAACCUUACCGAGAAUUGACAUCCCGUGACUACCUGUGAGAGCAGGGUUUAGUGUUUACACUACACGGAGACAGGUGGUGCAUGGCUGUCGUCAGCUCGUGUCGUGAGAUGUUGGGUUAAGUCCCGCAACGAGCGCAACCCUUAUCUUUAGUUGCCAUCAUUAAGUUGGGCACUCUAGAGAGACUGCCGGUGUCAAACCGGAGGAAGGUGGGGAUGACGUCAAGUCCUCAUGGCCUUUAUGACCAGGGCUACACACGUACUACAAUGGCAUGUACAAAGGGCAGCCACUUAGCGAUAAGGAGCGAAUCCCGUAAAACAUGUCUCAGUCCGGAUUGGAGUCUGCAACUCGACUCCAUGAAGUUGGAAUCGCUAGUAAUCGUGGAUCAGCAUGCCACGGUGAAUACGUUCCCGGGCCUUGUACACACCGCCCGUCACACCACGGAAGUUGGUUGUACCAGAAGCAGUUGAGCGAACCUUCGGGUAGCAGGCUGCCCAAGGUA